UUUUAAGUCUGCAUCUGUAGUGAUAAGUGGAAAAGAGAGAUGAGGAAGGGGCUUUACUGGCCCAACCAGAAACACAAACUAAGAACCCAUGACUGAAUUCUCGCCCUUGAACACCCCUGAUUCUGUGAAUGGCUUUAUGACCCUGAGAGAAAAACUGUAUUGAACUCCAACACAAUCAAUAGAUGGAUAGGUUCUCCAUUCAGCCUCUUCUCGAAGCAACAUCUUUUGGUGGUGGUCAGUGUUAGAAGGCAGUUUGAACAAGAUUAAGAGGAUAAAACUGUUGUUCUUCUGGGAAGAAGAGGUCACAAUACAGU
rnacentral:lncRNA from 10 species